UACAGAGGUCUCAAGCGUUGUUCGGAUUCAUUGGGCGUAAAGGGUGCGUAGGCGGCGUGGUAAGUCGGAUGUGAAAUCUCGGAGCUUAACUCCGAAACUGCAUUCGAUACUGCCGUGCUUGAGGACUGGAGAGGAGACUGGAAUUUACGGUGUAGCGGUGAAAUGCGUAGAUAUGCGGAGGAACACCGAUGGCGAAGGCAAUCCCCUGGACCUGUACUGACGCUCAUGCACGAAAGCGUGGGGAGCAAACAGG
rnacentral:rRNA from 1 species